GCCGUUGUAUCGGAGACGCGCAGCCGACAGCGUCCCCUGCUCCGUGGCAAAAGGGGCUCCAAUGCUGCUUCGAUUUGUGCCCGCCUAAGCAAGACGAGAGCCACUGAAGCUUCGAAGCUGGAGGUGAUGCCAUGCCCUCAAGGCACGCUGCUGCUCCACGCUAACGACACAAUGAAAACCUGCCCCACCCCUCACCGAUGAACAGCUUGAACACGUACGGAAAAAAAAAAACGGUACAAGCUACACGUAAUCCCUUCCUUGCGAGUGCAACACAAAUGGAAAAAAAAAAAAAGAAAA